UACGAAGGGUGCAAGCGUUACUCGGAAUUACUGGGCGUAAAGCGUGCGUAGGUGGUUUUUUAAGUCCGUUGUGAAAGCCCUGGGCUCAACCUGGGAAUGGCAGUGGAUACUGGAAAGCUAGAGUGCGGUAGAGGGUAGUGGAAUUCCUGGUGUAGCGGUGAAAUGCGCAGAUAUCAGGAGGAACACCGGUGGCGAAGGCGGAUCUCUGGGCCUGUCCUGACGCUCAGGCGCGAAAGCUAGGGGAGCAAACAGG
rnacentral:rRNA from 1 species